AACGGCCAUACCGAGGUGAAUAUACCGGUUCUCGUUAGAUCAACCGAAGUCAAGUAUCAUUGGGCCCGGUCAGUACUUGGAUGGGUGACCACCUGGGAACACCGCGUGCCGUU
rnacentral:rRNA from 1 species